CACCAUGGGUCACUGCUGAUGAGGAGCUGAACUGAAUGGAGCAUUUGGUAUUUUCCCUUGGAAACAAGGCUGCAGUGAUAGUUGGAUUGUGUCAACUUGAGUAAGAAACUGCCAGCUAAACUGGAUCAGUGCAGUUGUGAGUGAGGCUGAGGGCAUUAUGGAGGACAGGAGAGCCACGCUAGGCUGGCUUGUCACCUGAGUGGUACAAAAGCGAAACGAGGGAGGAAGGCUCGCUUCUGUUUCUUUGGAGGAGCUCCAGUCUUUGCCUUCCCCUCGGACGUCAUCUCCUGGCUUCCGGUGCAGACUCUCUGGCCUCCUGAUAGGGACUCGCACGGGACACUGCAGGGAGCUCCAGGCCUUCAGCUGGACCUUUCAGAUCCCCAGUGCACAGACGGACCUUUUGCACUCUUCGACCCCCGACUCUGUGUUCGGCCACUGGCCUAAGCACAGAGUAGGUGCUCAAAGAUUUGCUGAAUGAAUUAAUUAAUAGGUAAAAUAUAUUCCCCCAAACACUUUCUCCCUGGAGAAGUGGACGUGGACGUGCAAGGCCUGUGGCCCAAGAAGUGGAAGGGGCGAGUAACAUGGGGAGCUCCCUGGAUGGGGGAGAUCAGGAGCCCGAGUGCAGCGGGGGACCUGGGGAGCAGAAACCCACCCUCCUUUGGUCCCUGAGGGCUGGCAGAAUUAGCUAAUGCUUGGGAAUGAAUACAAGUAGAGACUUUUGGCAUAAAAUAGAAAAAUGCCAGACAUGGCAAGCUGUACUGAAUGGAAGAGGCAGUGCAGUGUUACACAUGCUGCUUCCACAGGUGGGGUCACUGUGGUCACCCCAGUGAUGUCCCAUGGGCAGAUACUCAGCCUUUUUGUGACUAAAACUGGACUCCGUGCAGCACACUUUUUCCCUUAGUGACACAGAGCUUGCUACCAAAGGGAGAAAUUUGUUGCCCAAAACGCUCUUCCCAGUAUUCCAGGGGGAAUGGCCCAGGUGGGUCAGGACUCAGGCAAGGAGGGCCAAGUGCUUUAAGGAGGCACUCACUCUGGGGCUCAGGCCAGCACAGGGUCAGUACUUGCAGGAGCCUGAAACAGAGAGCCUCCUUAAAUCCUGUGUCCCUACCUCCUGGAGCUUAAUGGAAGUACAUUCUUGGGCAGGGACCAUUAUGACUUUGAUUUGUCUUUUUUCUUUUUUUGUGUUUGAG
rnacentral:lncRNA from 1 species